rnacentral:tRNA from 2 species
AAUUAUUUUGCUUAAGGAAAGCAGAUACUUUGAAAGUAUCUUAUAAAAGUUCAAUUCUUUUAAUAAUUA